rnacentral:tRNA from 1 species
GUGGUGGCUCAGAGGUAGAGCACUCGCUUAGCAUGCCUGAAGCACUGGGUUCAAUCCUCAGCACACA